GACGAACGCUGGCGGCGUGCCUAAUACAUGCAAGUAGAACGCAGUUGCGAACGGGUGAGUAACGCGUAGGUAACUGCCUCAUAGCGGGGGAUAACUCUUGGAAACGAUAGCUAAUACCGCAUACUGUGAGAUGGCCCUGCGUUGUAUUAGCUAGUUGGUGAGGUAAAGGCUCACCAAGGCGACGAUACAUAGCCGACCUGAGAGGGUGAUCGGCCACACUGGGACUGAGACACGGUCCAGACUCCUACGGGAGGCAGCAGUGGGGAAUAUUGGACAAUGGGGGAAACCCUGAUCCAGCCAUCCCGCGUGUGCGAUGAAGGCCUUCGGGUUGUAAAGUACUUUCGGCAGGAAGCGGUACCUGCAGAAUAAGCACCGGCUAACUACGUGCCAGCAGCCGCGGUAAUUC
rnacentral:rRNA from 1 species